UCUAUUAUAGUAACGAGGAUUUCACGUGCCUGCACGCCAUGCAUGACCCAUCAUUAUGACCCAUAAACAGCCGUAACCUGGUAUAGCGAAGAUCAGCUUUGUUUUAGCGAGAACAUAAUGACCUACCGAUAGUUUUAUUCUAGUGAAAUUGUUUAUACUUUCAGUUCACGCAUUGUUUACUCUUGGACCGAUAACUCGUACUUUUUUAAUUAAAACACGCUUAUCUUCAAGUCUUACUAUGUCAAACUUUUAUUUUCUAGGAUUUAUAUUGUUCGUUUCGUGUGGGCUUAGGUGUGGGUAUGCCUUGUACAACGGUAACCCGCAUGUGGUGGAGCUCACGCCAUUUAACUUCAAGGAUCUAGUCGUUAAAAGUGAUGAGGUUUGGUUGGUUGAAUACUACGUGCCAUGGUGCGGCUACUGUCAGAGACUAGCUCCUGAUUUCAAGCUUGCAGCUGAAGCAUUGAAGGGCAUUAUCAAAGUUGGAGCUGUAAAUGGUGAGAAACAUAAAAUGUUCAUCGCCGAAGCAAACAUCAAAUCCUACCCCACUUUAAAGAUUUUCACAAAUACGACAAAUUUUAUUUACAAAGGCAGAAGAGUGGUAGAAGGUUUGGUUGAAGCCUGCUUAACUGCCUCGAGGUACGAAGUCUAUAAGCGCCUCGGCAAGAACCCAGACGAUUACUCAUCGAUUAAAAUAAAGGCCUUAAGAGAAUUUGAUGCACUGGUUAAGAAUUACCUGCCUCAAAGUAAAGUGUUAAAUGAGAAUAAUGAUUGCAAAAUAAAAUAAUAAU